AGUGAACGCUGGCGGUAGGCCUAACACAUGCAAGUCGAACGGCAGCACAGGAGAGCUUGCUCUCUGGGUGGCGAGUGGCGGACGGGUGAGGAAUACAUCGGAAUCUACUCUGUCGUGGGGGAUAACGUAGGGAAACUUACGCUAAUACCGCAUACGACCUACGGGUGAAAGCAGGGGACCUUCGGGCCUUGCGCGAUUGGAUGAGCCGAUGUCGGAUUAGCUAGUUGGCGGGGUAAAGGCCCACCAAGGCGACGAUCCGUAGCUGGUCUGAGAGGAUGAUCAGCCACACUGGAACUGAGACACGGUCCAGACUCCUACGGGAGGCAGCAGUGGGGAAUAUUGGACAACGGGCGCAAGCCUGAUCCAGCCAUACCGCGUGGGUGAAGAAGGCCUUCGGGUUGUAAAGCCCUUUUGUUGGGAAAGAAAUCCAGCUGGCUAAUACCCGGUUGGGAUGACGGUACCCAAAGAAUAAGCACCGGCUAACUUCGUGCCAGCCGCCGCAGUAA
rnacentral:rRNA from 1 species